AUCUUCCCUGCUUUAGAAUCGACAUCAACGAAUCUACAUCUCGACAGUCAGAAUUAGCGUGAUGGGGGAAGAGGAAUAUGGAAUGACACCCAGACCUUCGACUUGGACUUCACAGUCAUUAAUGACGCCUCAAAAUACAUUUGGAGAUAAAAAACGAUUACCAUGCAGUUUCUGGUUUGAGGGAAGUUGUAUGAGCUACUUGUUAAUUGUAUUCCUCCAAAGAUCAUCUUGAAGGUAAAGACUCCUUUCAUGUUGUUAUUGUAAUUUUUACGUUUUCUAUUUGAAUUGAAUUCUUAUUACUUAUUUUUU